rnacentral:rRNA from 1 species
GAGUUUGAUCCCUGGCUCAGGACGAACGCUGGCGGCGUGCCUAAUACAUGCAAGUCGAGCGGAGAAUUUGGAGCUUGCUCCAAAUUCUUAGCGGCGGACGGGUGAGUAACACGUGGGCAACCUGCCCUGCAGAUCGGGAUAACUCCGGGAAACCGGUGCUAAUACCGAAUAGUUUGUUUCAUCUCCUGGUGAAACACGGAAAGACGGUUUCGGCUGUCACUGCAGGAUGGGCCCGCGGCGCAUUAGCUAGUUGGUGGGGUAAUGGCCCACCAAGGCGACGAUGCGUAGCCGACCUGAGAGGGUGAUCGGCCACACUGGGACUGAGACACGGCCCAGACUCCUACGGGAGGCAGCAGUAGGGAAUCUUCCGCAAUGGACGAAAGUCUGACGGAGCAACGCCGCGUGAGUGACGAAGGUUUUCGGAUCGUAAAACUCUGUUGUGAGGGAAGAACAAGUACCAACUAACUACUGGUACCUUGACGGUACCUCACCAGAAAGCCACGGCUAACUACGUGCCAGCAGCCGCGGUAAUAC